GGGGCAUCGGGAUUGAAGCUUGCUUCAUUGCCGGCGACCGGCGCACGGGUGCGUAACGCGUAUGUAACCUACCUAUAACAGGGGCAUAACACUGAGAAAUUGGUACUAAUUCCCCAUAAUAUUCGGAGAGGCAUCUCUCCGGGUUGAAAACUCCGGUGGUUAUAGAUGGACAUGCGUUGUAUUAGCUAGUUGGUGAGGUAACGGCUCACCAAGGCAACGAUACAUAGGGGGACUGAGAGGUUAACCCCCCACACUGGUACUGAGACACGGACCAGACUCCUACGGGAGGCAGCAGUGAGGAAUAUUGGUCAAUGGACGCAAGUCUGAACCAGCCAUGCCGCGUGCAGGAAGACGGCUCUAUGAGUUGUAAACUGCUUUUGUACGAGGGUAAACUCACCUACGUGUAGGUGACUGAAAGUAUCGUACGAAUAGGGAUCGGCUAACUCCGUGCCAGCAGCCGCGGUAAUACGGAGGAUUCAAGCGUUAUCCGGAUUUAUUGGGUUUAAAGGGUGCGUAGGCGGUUUGAUAAGUUAGAGGUGAAAUCCCGGGGCUUAACUCCGGAACUGCCUCUAAUACUGUUAGACUAGAGAGUAGUUGCGGUAGGCGGAAUGUAUGGUGUAGCGGUGAAAUGCUUAGAGAUCAUACAGAACACCGAUUGCGAAGGCAGCUUACCAAACUAUAUCUGACGUUGAGGCACGAAAGCGUGGGGAGCAAACAGGAUUAGAUACCCUGGUAGUCCACGCAGUAAACGAUGAUAACU
rnacentral:rRNA from 1 species